rnacentral:lncRNA from 1 species
UGGCGGAUUUGCAAUGUCCUUUCCUGCGGAGGCACUGCCCUUAUUUCCUGUGCAAUAUCUUAUUUCAUCAACACAUGUAUAACAUAUAAUGAAGCGUCACAUUGUAGAUCAGUCUUGGACUAUGGGGCCCAAAGAGUUGUGCCCAAGGCCGGCUAACAAUUAAGUCAUUGGAACCUAUUUAAGGUUUGUGUGGUUCACAGAU